rnacentral:rRNA from 1 species
AGGAGAGAGGAAUUCCACGUGUAGCGGUGAAAUGCGUAGAGAUGUGGAGGAACACCAGUGGCGAAGGCGACUCUCUGGUCUGUAACUGACGCUGAGGAGCGAAAGCGUGGGGAGCGAACAGGAUUAGAUACCCUGGUAGUCCACGCCGUAAACGAUGAGUGCUAAGUGUUAGGGGGUUUCCGCCCCUUAGUGCUGCAGCUAACGCAUUAAGCACUCCGCCUGGGGAGUACGGUCGCAAGACUGAAACUCAAAGGAAUUGACGGGGGCCCGCACAAGCGGUGGAGCAUGUGGUUUAAUUCGAAGCAACGCGAAGAACCUUACCAGGUCUUGACAUCCUCUGACAACCCUAGAGAUAGGGCUUUCCCUUCGGGGACAGAGUGACAGGUGGUGCAUGGUUGUCGUCAGCUCGUGUCGUGAGAUGUUGGGUUAAGUCCCGCAACGAGCGCAACCCUUGAUCUUAGUUGCCAGCAUUCAGUUGGGCACUCUAAGGUGACUGCCGGUGACAAACCGGAGGAAGGUGGGGAUGACGUCAAAUCAUCAUGCCCCUUAUGACCUGGGCUACACACGUGCUACAAUGGACAGAACAAAGGGCUGCAAGACCGCAGGUUUAGCCAAUCCCAUAAAUCUGUUCUCAGUUCGGAUCGCAGUCUGCAACUCGACUGCGUGAAGCUGGAAUCGCUAGUAAUCGCGGAUCACAUGCCCCCGGUGUGAAUACCUUUCCCGGGCCGUUUUCAAACAACCCCCUCACGCCAGAAGAGUGUGCUUUCACCUCAAACAAA